rnacentral:rRNA from 1 species
UACAUGGGGUGCAAACGUUGCUCGGAAUCAUUGGGCGUAAAGCGCGCGUAGGCGGUUGCUUAAGUCGGAUGUGAAAGCCCUCGGCUUAACUGAGGAAGUGCAUCCGAAACUGAGUAGCUAGAGUACGAAAGAGGGUCGCGGAAUUCCCGGUGUAGAGGUGAAAUUCGUAGAUAUCGGGAGGAACACCGGUGGCGAAGGCGGCGACCUGGGUCGAGACUGACGCUGAGGCGCGAAAGCGUGGGGAGCAAACAGG